UCUCAGACGGACUUCUCUGGCAAUCGGACUCCUAUCGGACUUCAUCAACAGAAAGUCUCCAUCCGAGCUUCUAUAGUAGAUGACUCCCAUCUGUAGCAUCAGCGCCCGAGGCAUCCGACAAUAGUAGACUCGUCAGCAACCUCGAAAACAUCUGAGCUUCUUCUAGAUCGAUGGGAUAGAGACCCAUUCCGCUCCAUCAGACAUCCCAGCCGAGC
rnacentral:lncRNA from 1 species